UACGGAGGAUCCAAGCGUUGUCCGGAUUUACUGGGUUUAAAGGGUGCGUAGGUGGACUUUUAAGUCGGUGGUGAAAGCCUGUAGCUUAACUAUAGAAUUGCCAUUGAAACUGAAAGUCUUGAGUACAGUUGAGGUGAGCGGAAUGUAUUAUGUAGCGGUGAAAUGCUUAGAUAUGAUACAGAACACCGAUUGCGAAGGCAGCUCACUAAACUGCAACUGACACUGAGGCACGAAAGCGUGGGGAUCAAACGGG
rnacentral:rRNA from 1 species